AUGCAUGCUGGGCUAUAAUUUAUGAAACAGAGCCCAGGAAACAACCAAUCGCUCAGCUUCUCCUAACAAGUCCAACUGGCUAUGAAAAGCUGGAAGUGCUGCACAGAACAAUGAAGAGGAGCUAUCCCACAUAUUAAUCUGCUUAUCUGGGAUUGCCUUCUGUGUAGAGAGAGGGAAGCAUGUAAAAAGGAGAGGGGAAAACAAAGGAAAAUCACAAUUUCAUUUGUUAAAAGAACAGGGUAAAUUCCAGUCAACAUGAAAAUCCUCCAUUGCAGUCUGAUGGC
rnacentral:lncRNA from 1 species